AUCUACCUUGAAGUCUGCCAAACUGAAUGGGGUAUUUUCCUGGAGGCGCCUUGUGAAUGAUGUAGACAGUUCAGGGUGAAAACACAAUCUGAUUCCUCCCACAUCCUUUCAU
rnacentral:lncRNA from 1 species